UUUUCUUUCUUUUAUUCACUAUAUGACCUGUCUCUCAUGUGCAUUUCCACAUCUCUCUCUCUCUUCCCCCCCCCCCCCCCCCCCCCCUCUCUUUAUAAUGAGUGCAAGAUUGGGAACUUGAGUGCUUGCAGCCUUGUGGGUUUUUCUUUUGAUUGCUGAAUUAUGAGAGAGAGAGAGAGAGAGAGAGAGAGGAGUUUUCUUGGAGAGAUGGAAAAGAGGGUGUCUGGAAUGAAGUUUGAUCCAAGAUCCUUCCAAUUUUUUCACGUCUCCUUGUUCUCUUGUCCUCCUUUUUUGAAUUGAAUUGCUGUUUAUUUCAUGAUGAUGAUGAUGGUGAUGAUGAACUCGAGGACAGAUCUCGGACCAGGCUUCAUUCCUCACACCAUCUUUUCCCGGAAAUAAAAAAGUCCCAGAUAUAUGUUUAAGAAAGCUCUGUAUCAUCUUCUAGCUCGUGACUGUGCAAGCAGUCCCAUCACCAAUCACAUUGCGCCACGGAAGUAUCUGUGAUCAGUCAUAUCUCUUCCCAAAAAGCAAUGGUCGCAACAUGCACAUGCAAUUUCAGGGAAAUAGUAAACUGCAUGUACCGUUCAUUUCAUCGUUUUAUGUGAACACAGUGAGUAACUGUUGAGAAGGAGACACUUUCGAAAAAUUGUUAGCUUCCAGUUUGUUUUAAUUAUCUAAUUCACUGUUUUUUGGCUACGUACAUAUCUUGAUCUUCUUUGUAUUCAUGUAUGCAAUAAUGUACCAAAGCAAAGCAUGUUAGAUGUGCAGAAAGCCAGUAAUUAAGGUUUCCCUAUUUUGUGCUUCUGAAGUAGCUGUCUCUUGGAGUUUAUCUUUGCUGUCUUUAUCAUUUUUGUCAUCAACCCAAAGAUAGGGGAUAGCAAUGCAUCUCUCUUUAUAUAUAUAUAUAUAUAUAGAGAGAGAGAGAGAGAGAGAGAGAGAGUAGAGAAGAAUACUAUAUGUCAAUCAUUUGUCAUUGUUCUAUGUAUGAUGUGUAUGAUGUUGAUGAAUCAGUAGCUUGGGAACAUUUCAUCAUUAUAUCUCUGUAAUUUGAUUUUCUUUUGUGAAUGGUUUCCCUUA